UACAUGCAGUCGAACGGACGAGUAAGAGCUUGCUCUUAUGAGUUAGUGGCGCACGGGUGAGAAAUGUAUAGCUAAUCUGCCCUACACUAGAGGACAACAGUUGGAAACGACUGCUAAUACUCUAUACACCUCUCUAGCAUAAGUUAGAUAGGGAAAGUUUUUCGGUGUAGGAUGAGGCUAUAUUGUAUCAGCUAGUUGGUGAGGUAAUGGCUCACCAAGGCUAUGACGCAUAACUGGUCUGAGAGGAUGAUCAGUCACACUGGAACUGAGACACGGUCCAGACUCCUACGGGAGGCAGCAGUAGGGAAUAUUGCUCAAUGGGGGAAACCCUGAAGCAGCAACGCCGCGUGGAGGAUGACACUUUUCGGAGCGUAAACUCCUUUUGUUAGGGAAGAACAAUGACGGUACCUAACGAAUAAGCACCGGCUAACUCCGUGCCAGCAGCCGCGGUAAUACGGAGGGUGCAAGCGUUACUCGGAAUCACUGGGCGUAAAGGACGCGUAGGCGGAUUAUCAAGUCUCUUGUGAAAUCCUAUGGCUUAACCAUAGAACUGCUUGGGAAACUGAUAAUCUAGAGUGAGGGAGAGGCAGAUGGAAUUGGUGGUGUAGGGGUAAAAUCCGUAGAGAUCACCAGGAAUACCCAUUGCGAAGGCGAUCUGCUGGAACUCAACUGACGCUAAUGCGUGAAAGCGUGGGGAGCAAACAGGAUUAGAUACCCUGGUAGUCCACGCCCUAAACGAUGUAUACUAGUUGUUGCUAAGCUAGUCUUGGCAGUAAUGCACCUAACGGAUUAAGUAUACCGCCUGGGGAGUACGGUCGCAAGAUUAAAACUCAAAGGAAUAGACGGGACCCGCACAAGCGGUGGAGCAUGUGGUUUAAUUCGAAGAUACGCGA
rnacentral:rRNA from 1 species